UUCAUCCCUUGAAACAAGUUUAAAUCUUAUCUAUUUAGUUGCUAUCUCCACAGCUCUCUCUCUGUAAAAUAUAUUUUCCUUGUCUCAAGAGAUCAGAAAGUAGCCAUCGUCACGGCCCAAAGCAGUAUCUUUCUGUAUUUUUCAUUUUAGCUAAAUACAUCUAUUUAUCCCUUGUAAUAUCAAAAGUGUACAUUCUUUCUUUUUUCUGAGUGUAGACUAAAUAUUUUGUCUGCAGUCACAGGAACUGGCCUGCUUGUUUCUGUCUGCAUUGAUGCGUGUAUGUGGAUUUGUGUAUAGACUUAGUCUGUGGAUUUGGUGUAAACCAGAUGCCACAGUGUGGAUUCUGACUCUUGGUGACCCCAUGUGUGUCGUGUCAGAGCAGAAGUGUGCUCCAUAGGGCUUUCAGUGGCUGAUUUUUCAGAAGUAGAUUGCCAGGCCUUUCUUCAGAGGCACCUCCGCGUGGGCUCAAACCUCCAGACUUUCAUCUAGCAGCAGGGACUUUGACCGUUUGCACCACCCACAGUUUCGGUCACGGAUUUGGGAGUGUGACAAACCACACAAAAGCAGAACCAGUCCACCCACCAGGUGCUCAAGAGCGUUCAGAGCCCAUCUGGGCCCCAUUGCCUCGCUCUUGUCUCCAGCGUGAGGGCCCAGGAGGGUGUUUGGCAAAUAGUGGGCGCUCAACCAAUCUUUGCAAAUGAAUCAAUGGAAAAGCAAGAGAAUGAAGUUUCUGUGGUUCGGCUCCGUCAGUUGAUGACCCCUGACUUUAAAUGCUCUCCCCAAUUUGUUCAUGGCAUGUUGAGUCCUCUCCCCACUUGGAGAACUGUGCGAGCUUCACAGGAGCAGCACGUGCAGUACCCUCCAGGGUUUUCAAUGGCUGUGACUUCUCAGAAAUAGAUCAACAGGCCUUUCUUCCAAGGCACCUCUAGGUGAACUCAAGCUGCCAACUUUUCUGAUUGUUCGCGGCAGCCUGCCAUAUUACUGGAAGUUGAAGUUGAAACAUAGAUGAUUUAUAAAAGAAAAAUUUGUGGCAAAUAUGUAACCAACAGGAUUAAACUAUUCCCCCUCCUCCCACCACACCAGGGUUUGUGAGUUCCUGAUAAGACAUUCUGUGUAGCAGCCCGAAUUCAUCUUACUGCUUCUCUGUUCAAGGCCGCUUCAUUAAUCACUCCCACUCCAUUCAGAUGUGAGCAAUAAGCUGCAAAGCU